CUACGGGGGGCUGCAGUCGAGAAUCUUCCGCAAUGGACGAAAGUCUGACGGAGCGACGCCGCGUGCGGGAUGAAGGCCUUCGGGUUGUAAACCGCUGUCAGUGGGGAGGAAAUGCAUCAGGGUUCUCCCUGGUGUUUGACCGAUCCGCAAAGGAAGCGCAGGCUAAGUUCGUGCCAGCAGCCGCGGUAACACGAACUGCGCGAACGUUAUUCGGAAUCACUGGGCUUAAAGAGUUCGUAGGCGGCCUUUCAAGUCGGGUGUGAAAUCCCUCGGCUCAACCGAGGAAUUGCGCCUGAUACUGUUGGGCUUGAGGGGGAUAGGGGUGAGCGGAACUGAUGGUGGAGCGGUGAAAUGCGUUGAUAUCAUCAGGAACACCGGUGGCGAAGGCGGCUCACUGGAUCUCUUCUGACGCUGAGGAACGAAAGCUAGGGGAGCGAACGGGAUUAGAUACCCCCGUAGUC
rnacentral:rRNA from 1 species